CUUGAGAGGUAUGGGACAACUCUCUUUUCAACUCAAAAAUUUUGGUCCUGUUUGCAAUGCCAUAUCUGGCAUGAAGUUGGGACCAUAUACUUUGUGCAGUAUCAGAAUACUGAACACUUUCAGCAAUUUGUGGGGAGAGGGAGGCAGUUAACCAAGAAAUCACCAUGUUAUUGCACCUAACCCAUAACCUUUGUUGAGCCACAUUAGUGGCUGGUCGGGAGCACGUCCCAUCAACAAAACUAAUCUUAUUUUUAGCAGAUAAUGCACAACAAACAUUUUUCUCCUACAACCCCUAUAACCACUUCCCGAGAAGGGAGUAGGAACAAGAGAGACCCCAUGCACAUCGGAGGAGUAUAUAAAUAGAGGACUGGUAGAGUCUACCGAGGAGGAGGUACCAGUAUUCGUAUUAGAAGUCAUGAUUAAUGCACCAGUUUGAAAAGAAAAACAGUUUCGACAAGCAAAAUAUCACGAAACCAGAUAUUCACACAAAGCCAAAUAAGCACACACAAAGUAUACAAUACUCAAGAGAGGUACAGAGUUACCCUCCUUCUUCGCAACCGGAGAAGAUCGGCCUUCAGCCAAUCAGAGAAAACCAUAGGUACAAAACCCUAGGUGCAACCGUAGCAAACCUUACUGGAAGCGAAGAAUUGAUCUGAAACGAAGCACUUCGUCUAUAGGCAUUGUAGAAAGGAUAGAAUUUAUAGUCAGGGAUGUCGGAAAGUCACCCUAAACAUCUACUGAGUGAGAAUCGAGCCACCGGAUAGUAGUAAAACUCUAGGUUAAACCACCAGAAACCUUAGAAGCCGAUAGGUCACCCAAAAAUCACCCAAAAUCAUCAGAAAAACUCUCAGAACGUUCGAGUGAAGAAAAUACACUCAGAUAUCACGAUGAAAAACUCAGAAAGACGUUCGAUUUAGACCGGAAUCAUCAUCGACCAUAAGGUCUCAGAAACACCCCCAAAAAUCUCGAAACAGACUUCAUCCAAGACAAUGAGAUACAGAUAAACAUAGUCUGAUCGUCGUCUAGGCUCUGAUACCAUGUAAACAUUGAGAUUAGACCGAAAAAUCAUUGAGAAUGUAGAGAGAGAAACUAGAGAGAAGGAGGAGCGUUUGAGAACUCUCUAGAAUAGAGAGAGAAUUUAUUAAUCAGAAAUGAAAAUAGA
rnacentral:lncRNA from 1 species